UUCAGCAUUGAUCAUGUCAGA
ensembl:piRNA 21ur-216 ncRNA